GGAAAUAUUGAACAAGCAAACUUGCUUGUUCUUUAUCCUCGAUUCUCUAUUAUCAUCCCAACAUUCCCAAUACAAAAACCAUGUUGUACAAAUAUAUAGAAUUGUCUGUCACAUGGCUCUUCUUUCAUUGGCUCCCUUGCAUAGAUCCUGCACGCGUGCGUGCGUGCGUGCAUAUGUCUUAAAGUGGCCCUGCUUAGGCUAACUAAAUGAAAUGCUCAGAUAAGAUAAGGAUCUUCCUGUUUACCUAAGCCUUUACCAUGCAUAUAGUUCACCUGGGGGGUUGGCCUCUCUCUACACAAAUGGAAUGCUGAACACAGUAUCAUUAUUAUACAGGAUAAAGAGUUACAUCUUCAACUUUUCUGAUAUUGGAUUACGUGGGUCACUCUGUCUAAUGAGGGGAGGUGCAGCUAUGACAGUACCUGCCAAAUGAACCCCUCUGUGCUGACUCACUCUGGGGGCCCAGAUGGAUUCUGUCACAAUAUUGAUCCUCUUUCUACAGGCUGUCAGGCUGUCUGGUCACAGAGGAAGGCUGUGCUUCUCUGGCCUCAGCUCUGAGGUCCAACCCCUUCCACCUUAGGGAACUGGACCUGAGCUACAAUCAUCCAGGAGAAAAAGGAUUGAAGCUGCUCUCUGCUGGACUGGAGGAUCCACACUGCAGACUGGAGAAACUCAAGCUAAUUAUACCAUGCAGUUCGUCAGUGAUGAAGUAAGCAAACAGCGCUUGAUCGGCCAUGACUGACGUCAACGCAGCAAACCAGGAAGCAGGAAUGUCCGACUUUACGCAGCCGUUUAUAACUCUUCCCCGACUGCAAGCAGCAACUCUCGCUGGUCGUUUCAUGCAGCCGAUGUCGAACGCACCUAUGGUUUACGGAGCGCUAGAUUGGCUUUGCCAAAGAAUGCCGCAUUUUAAAUAUCGCUCCAUCACGCGAAUUUGAUCGUGGGAAGCCAAAAUCGUGAUUAAAAUUUUAUUAAUUGUGCAGCCCUACUACACCCAGUUCUGGCUAUGUUAACCGCUUUGUGUUUAAACUUACUGAUGUUAACUGUUAUUUCUAACUCUGUUUACGUCAGGGUUGGUUGCUCCUUCCAUGCUUGUUUGUUUACUGUUCUUCGUCUUUCUUGUCUUAUGAGGAGGGUUAGACAGGAUCUUUUUCUCUCUUCCGGGCUUCCCCUGGUAACCCUCGUGUUUCACGUCACUACGCUGUGAAUUGUGGGCAAGUCUGCAAAAAUGCAGACUUAAGGGUGCAUAAAAUGUCUUCGAAAGAGCCCUCGCGGAUUUGACAAUUUGACAGUGGGACAGCCCUAAGCCCUUACAGACUUAGUGAGAACGUGCCUCAAAGUCUGUGAGGGUGGACAUUGGGAUUGGGCCUAACCGUUCGUAAACUCCAGAUUGAUUGUCCUGUUGUAAGUAAGUAAGACUUUAUUUAUAUAUCACUUUUCAUACAAGAAUUGCAGCUCAAAGUGCUUUACAUAAAAUCAACAAAACAAUAAUACAAGUGUUGAUCUAAACUAGCCGCACUCUAUCUGCGGUCUCUCGAAUCCAUCUUAGAUCCGAGCUGCCACUUGCAGUUUCUAAUUAAUUUCUAGUUUCUAGGGGGGACAUUGGGAUUGGGCCUAACUGUUCGUAAACUCCAGAUUGAUUGUCCUGUUGUCUCUGAGGGAAAAAGCUGUUUGACCCGUGCAUUGAUUCAGAGCGUGCACGGAGAGAGGGGCUUUUUCACAGACGGGUCUGUUGUAGUGAGAGAGAGAGAGAACGCGAGCGGGGCAAGAAGGGGCUGAGCGAAUCAGUGUGCUGCGUGCAGCUCUACUAUUAAAUAUUUUUUUUGUGAUGUUAAACAGUAAAAGCAAAAACACCAUUUUAUAAAUUUGUGGUGGUAAAUCUCUAAUUGUGGCGGGCCGUUACAAAUAAAUUAAUGUAUGGGAAACACUGAAAACUCUGGGUGUGUUACCACGGUAACUGACUGUGAACCUCACCUGCUUGCUGGCAGCUUUUCUGUAACAAACCGUGAGUUUCUCCCUCUCCCCUCCCUCAUGCUGAGCCUGAAGCAACUGUCAGACAUGGGGUGUCCUUUCCUCAUCAACCUGAUUGUUGUUGAAGCCAUAUAACACAUACGGAUGACAUGAAAUUCUACAGUUUUCCAUGCAGAGCUAACCUGGCAUUUACUGAACAUCUCACUGUUAAUCUGUGCUGUGGAGGUUGAUGGACCCUCCUUCUCGUAAUCUUGUCAUUAAAAAGGAGAAGAAUGUGCCAGUUGUUUUGCGCACAUAGGAUUGUUCCAUUUCUUCUUCACCUGUAGUAAGACGUUAGCCUGGUCCUAACCAGACUCUCGUACAUUUCAUUUGUACAGAGAGUCUGGGCUCGCUCCCUUGACAAGCGUUAACUUCCUUGAAGGCGGGUAUUCUGUUGAAGUUUAAAACUAUUGGAUCUGCCCAGAGCCACUCUGGAUCUGCCAUAACCAAUCGCUAGCGUUCGCCUUAGCCAACUCCUUCAUCACUAACGGAGCGAGCUGGAAAAUCAAACGAACCCCGUGGGGAGCAAAGAUUGUUCUUGCUCCGGCUUUAACUUCUGGAUAUUCGGCAGCGUUGCCACAACAGACCGAAUGGCUUCGCUCGCAUCUUUCUUUGCCGCCAUUACAGAACUACAACUCAAACUAGCGCACGACAUCAACGUCAUCGUUCUCAGCCACUCCCUCUGUUCGCUGAUUGGACGGUAAAAAUACAGAAGCAAAAUGAAAAUUGAGCGGAAGUACGUAGGAGGGCAGAGCCAGGCUAGUAAGACGUGGUUAAAUGUCAAAUUAAUAUACUGCUUUGAAAUGUACUGAAUGAACAAUUGCCUCUUUUGCUGUUGAAGUUGUUUUUCUGCUUUCUGAAAAUGUCUUCAUACUCGGCUGCACGCAUGAGAAUUUCUAAUUCUCUGGAUAAGAGCGUCUGCUAAAUGACUAAAUGUAAUUCCAGUGAAUUAGAAAUGAACUAACUCAGAUCAGCUGUUCUGGAAGUGAUAACUUUGAGCUUCCCAUCUCAGGGUUCAUCAAGUCAGAGUUCAGGGUUCGGCUCAGAGUUUGUAAAACCUGCUUUCUGGAAUACACCUCUGAUGAUAAGAGAGAAACAACAUGUUUACUUAGAAAGUCAGUUGCUAAGUCACUUAUCAACAGGUGAAGUGUAUUUUCAUCAUUCCUCUGCUUA